AAUAGGCUAAUUAAGAGCGUAAGGGGAAUACCUUGGCUCUCAGAGGCGAUGAAGGACGUGAUAAGCUGCGAUAAGUUACGGGGAAUGGCACAAACAUUUUGAUCCGUAAAUUUCCGAAUGGGGCAACCCGGCAUAUUGAAGAUAUGUCACACUGUAAAGUGAGCAAACCUGGUGAACUGAAACAUCUAAGUAACCAGAGGAAUAGAAAACAAAAGUGAUUCCGCUAGUAGUGGCGAGCGAACGCGGAAUAGCCCAAACCUAAAUUGUUACGGCAAUUUAGGGGUUGUAGGACCUCAACAUUUAAUGCUAAUAGAACUAGAAUUUACU
rnacentral:rRNA from 1 species